AGAAAGAGCUAAGACUGUGGCCAGUAUGUGCUGGGGUUCUAGGAUGGUGAUUCUAACUGCUGCUAAGAAGCUUCUGACCAUUUGGAGGAGUCAAAAGACAGGGGAGUGGUUUGAAAAGAUGAACUAGAGUUCCUUGGGAAGUGUAGUGUUCCCUGCUUGAGACCAUAGGAGGCACAUAGGCUUGUGAAAACCUAGAAUCUUCUAUGAACAUUGGAGGACAAUGAGCAGAGAAGUCCUGGGGCAAGUUGAGAGGAAGAGUGUGGAGAAACCAUGAGAAGAUAGGGAAAUCGAGGCAGGGAGCUCUGGUAGCUGAGGUUGGGAAAUCCGAAGGAUGACUGUCAACAUGAAUCUCACAAGAGCUCUAGAGACCAGGCUGCGAUCGUCCCCUUCCUCUGGCUGAAAUCAUCUAUGGAAUCACCAAGAAACACUUGGCCAUCCCUUACCUGCCACCACCUGCCCCAAGCUACCAAAGCAGCUUCAUCCUUUUACUUUAUCUCCAUCCAUCAGUGAAAAGACCCUGGAAUUUUGAUGCUAUGAGAGCCUGGGAAGUCCAGAAGCCACCUCCAAAUGGUUGUUCUGGAGUGAUGUGUACACUGUUUCAUUAAUUCACGGUGUUGAAGACAUAAAGGCACAGUGGUACCCUUCUGUGAUACCCCCACAUCUGCUUCUGAGGAAUGUAUUAAGAAACGUAACAAACCUAGCUUCUGCAAUAGGCCAUCUGUGCCUGGCCUUACCGGCCAUGUAAGUUCAAGGACACAUUGGAACAGACACAUUCGGGAUAGUUUUGAAGGGCAGAAAGCCAGCUUGGGGUAUGCAAGUUGUCUUCCUACUCAGAAUGUUGCCCAUGUCCUAGUCUCAGCCUCUCUCGGCAUACCUGCUAGUGUUGGUCCAUACAUUGUGGAUGAGGUCUAGAAGCUGAAGACUUGUCAGCUUGAAGCCCUGCGUUCUCCUUUCCUGAAAGACCAAGAAAUGCCAUGGGAAAGAGCCUCUAGAGUCAGACAGAUAUGGUCCCAUUCCCAUCUUUGUCACUAUCCAUCUCUGGAACUAGGGGCAAGCUCUUUUCUGAGCCUCGAUUUAGCUAUACAGUGAAGCAAUGACACCUCGCUAUCAGGCUUAAGUAUGAGAAUUAAAGGAGUUGGUAAAUUGGACGGAUCACACAUGCUUCCCUCAUCUGUGUUCCCAGGAACCUUACUAGCUACGUGUUGUCAGGGUACCGGAUAGUCUACUGAGCGCUAGGAGAGUGUCCUCAGUUCCCAUCAGGAGCUGAGUGGCAUCUUCUCUGGGUGCUUCUAGCAGGAGCUCAGUAUCUUAUUUCUGCACUGUGAAAGCUUUAGGUGAAACUUUGCCUCUGCUAUAGGAGAGCAGGAUAGCUCCGUGAAGGAGGAUGAUCGGCGAUGCCGAGUUUACCUAAAAGCUUUUUUCCUGCACCAAGGGAGCAGGAAUUCACUGUAGUAAGAGAGACUCACAGUCCUGUUCUGAGAACAAUCAUGGCUUCUUCAGAACCCUGGCUGCAGUCCAAAAUCAGCUCCACCUUCCCUGCAAGCCAGUGAAGCAGGAAAGACACGCAUGGCACAGCCUUGGACACGUCUGUACCUGGCAGAGCCUUCGGUGCUAACUUCUCAGUGACUGGCUGGAGCAUCAGGGUGUCUGCCUGGAAAUAGUCUCGUGGUAGACAAGGGCCAGAACUUUGAGAAGGCAAGGCCUCAGACUUUUAGGAAGUCCCUGCACAAAGACCAGUGUGUUCUGCAAAGUGUUUUGCAUUUUAACAUUUCUCUUUGAUCAAAACCCAUGUACUUGGGGCAGGGAGGCUGAGGAUGUAGCUCAGUAUUAGAGCACUUACUUAGCUUGCAUAAGGCUCCUCCCCUCAAGUCCACAAAAAAAAUGUAAUAAAAAACAAUUUGA